CCUACGGGAGGCAGCAGUGGGGAAUAUUGGGCAAUGGGCGCAAGCCUGACCCAGCAACGCCGCGUGAAGGAAGAAGGCUUUCGGGUUGUAAACUUCUUUUCUCAGGGACGAAGCAAGUGACGGUACCUGAGGAAUAAGCCACGGCUAACUACGUGCCAGCAGCCGCGGGAAUACGUAGGUGGCAAGCGUUAUCCGUAUUUCCGGGGUGCAAAGGGCGUGUAGGCGGGGACGAAAGUCAGAUGUGAAAACCACGGGCUCAACCUGUGGCCUGCAGUGGAAACUGUGGUUCUUGAGUACUGGAGAGGCAGACGGAAUUCCUAGUGUAGCGGUGAAAUGCGUAGAUAUUAGGAGGAACACCAGUGGCGAAGGCAGUCUGCUGGACAGCAACUGACGCUGAGGCGCGAAAGCGUGGGGAGCAAACAGGAUUAGAUACCCCUGUAGUC
rnacentral:rRNA from 1 species